UGACAAAAAGAUGAAGUCAAUACCAUCAAAUCUUAAAAGACACAUAACCUCUCAACACCCAAACAUAAUGAAAGCAGAUGAAUCUAAUAGUGAUUCGUCCUUCAAUGCUAGAAAUACAGCAAAAGAAAAAUUCCCAAAAAUUAAGAUCGAUAAAUCUAAAGUUUUUGAAUGUAUAGUAUGGUUGAUUACAGUCCAUAAUUUACCCAUAAAUUUAGUAAAUUAUGAGGGUUUCCGUAUUUUACUAGACCCUAUAUGUCAUUCUCUUCAAAUGAAAAUAAAUACUCA